rnacentral:rRNA from 1 species
AUUGAACGCUGGCGGCAUGCCUUACACAUGCAAGUCGAACGGCAGCACGGGAGCAAUCCUGGUGGCGAGUGGCGAACGGGUGAGGUAAUAUAUCGGAACGUGCCCAGUCGUGGGGAUAACGUAGCGAAAGCUACGCUAAUACCGCAUACGAUCUAUGGAUGAAAGCGGGGGAUCGCAAGACCUCGCGCGAUUGGAGCGGCCGAUAUCAGAUUAGGUAGUUGGUGAGGUAAAGGCUCACCAAGCCGACGAUCUGUAGCUGGUCUGAGAGGACGACCAGCCACACUGGGACUGAGACACGGCCCAGACUCCUACGGGAGGCAGCAGUGGGGAAUUUUGGACAAUGGGCGCAAGGCCUGAUCCAGCAAUGCCGCGUGCAGGAUGAA